rnacentral:rRNA from 1 species
GUUAGGAAUAUUGGACAAUGGGCGCAAGCCUGAUCCAGCCAUGCCGCGUGAACGAUGAAGGCCUUCGGGUUGUAAAGUUCUUUAGCCGAUGAUUAUAAUGACUGUAGUCGGAAAAUAAGCCCCGGCUAACUUCGUGCCAGCAGCCGCGGUAAUACGAAGGGGGCGAGCGUUAUUCGGAAUCACUGGGCGUAAAGCGUGCGUAGGCGGUCUCGUAAGUUAGGAGUGAAAGCCCAGGGCUCAACCUUGGAAUUGCUCUUAAUACUGCAAGGCUAGAAUCUCGGAGAGGAUAGCGGAAUUUCCAGUGUAGCAGUGAAAUGCGUAGAUAUUGGAAGGAACACCAGUGGCGUAAGCGGCUAUCUGGACGAGUAUUGACGCUGAGGCACGAAAGCGUGGGGAUCAAACAGGAUUAGAAACCCGAGUAGUCC